rnacentral:rRNA from 1 species
AGUGAACGCUGGCGGUAGGCCUAACACAUGCAAGUCGAACGGCAGCACAGUAAGAGCUUGCUCUUACGGGUGGCGAGUGGCGGACGGGUGAGGAAUACAUCGGAAUCUACUUUUUCGUGGGGGAUAACGUAGGGAAACUUACGCUAAUACCGCAUACGACCUACGGGUGAAAGCAGUGGAUCUUCGGACCUUGCGCGAUUGAAUGAGCCGAUGUCGGAUUAGCUAGUUGGCGGGGUAAAGGCCCACCAAGGCGACGAUCCGUAGCUGGUCUGAGAGGAUGAUCAGCCACAGUGGAACUGAGACACGGUCCAGACUCCUACGGGAGGCAGCAGUGGGGAAUAUUUGACAAUGGGCGCAAGCCUGAUCCAGCCAUACCGCGUGGGUGAAGAAGGCCUUCGGGUUGUAAAGCCCUUUUGUUGGGAAAGAAAAGCAGCAGGUUAAUACCCCGCUGUUCUGACGGUACCCAAAGAAUAAGCACCGGCUAACUUCGU